rnacentral:rRNA from 1 species
AAUAGAUACCCUGGUAGUCCUGGCCCUAAACGAUGUCCACUAGAUUGCGGCGGGUUUGACCCCGUCGCGGUCGAAGCAAAAGUGUUAAGUGGACCGCCUGGGAAGUACGGUCGCAAGGCUAAAACUCAAAGGAAUUGACGGGGGCUCACACAAGCGGUGGAGCAUGUGGUUCAAUUCGAAGCAACGCGCAGAACCUUACCUGGGCUUGACAUGCUCGGAUUAUCCCGGUGAAAGCCGGGUAGGCCCCGCAAGGGGUACAACGAGUACAGGUGCUGCAUGGCUGUCGUCAGCUCGUGUCGUGAGAUGUCGGGUUAAGUCCCUUAACGAGCGAAACCUUUACCCUUAGUUACCAGCGGGUUAUGCCGGGGACUCUAAGGGGACCGCCGGUGUCAAACCGGAGGAAGGUGGAGAUGACGUCAAGUCCUCAUGGCCUUUAUGCCCAGGGCUACACACGUGCUACAAUGGGGCGUACAAAGGGCUGCCACUUAGCGAUAAGGAGCCAAUCCCAAAAAACGCCUCUCAGUUCAGAUUGGAGUCUGCAACUCGACUCCA